rnacentral:rRNA from 1 species
GAACCUGCGGAAGGAUCAUUACCGAGUUUUCGGGCUUCGGCUCGACUCUCCCACCCUUUGUGAACGUACCUCUGUUGCUUUGGCGGCUUCGGCCGCCAAAGGACCUUCAAACUCCAGUCAGUAAACGCAGACGUCUGAUAAACAAGUCAAUAAACUAAAACUUUCAACAACGGAUCUCUUGGUUCUGGCAUCGAUGAAGAACGCAGCGAAAUGCGAUAAGUAAUGUGAAUUGCAGAAUUCAGUGAAUCAUCGAAUCUUUGAACGCACAUUGCGCCCCUUGGUAUUCCGGGGGGCAUGCCUGUUCGAGCGUCAUUACAACCCUCAAGCUCUGCUUGGAAUUGGGCACCGUCCUCACUGCGGACGCGCCUCAAAGACCUCGGCGGUGGCUGUUCAGCCCUCAAGCGUAGUAGAAUACACCUCGCUUUGGAGCGGUUGGCGUCGCCCGCCGGACGAACCUUCUGAACUUUUCUCAAGGUUGACCUCGGAUCAGGUAGGGAUACCCGCUGAACUUAAGCAUAUCAAUAGCGGAGGAA